rnacentral:rRNA from 1 species
UAAGGAAUAUUGGACAAUGGGCGGAAGCCUGAUCCAGCCAUGCCGCGUGAAGGAAGAAGGCGCUCAGCGUUGUAAACUUCUUUUGGACGGGAACAAAGGCAUUUCUGCGGAAGUGUUUGAGGGUACUGUCAGAAUAAGCACCGGCUAACUCCGUGCCAGCAGCCGCGGUAAUACGGAGGGUGCAAGCGUUAUCCGGAAUCACUGGGUUUAAAGGGUGCGUAGGCGGUGGGGUAAGUCAGUUGUGAAAUUCCCCGGCUUAACCGGCGGGACUGCGAUUGAUACUGCCCUACUUGAAUCAGGUUGAGGUGAGCGGAAUGUGGCAUGUAGCGGUGAAAUGCAUAGAUAUGCCAUAGAACACCGAUUGCGAAGGCAGCUUGCUGGGCCUUGAUUGACGCUGAGGCACGAAAGCGUGGGGAGCAAACA